UCGGGUGACGANCGGCGGACGGGUGAGUAAUGUCUGGGAAACUGCCUGAUGGAGGGGGAUAACUACUGGAAACGGUAGCUAAUACCGCAUAACGUCGCAAGACCAAAGUGGGGGACCUUCGGGCCUCAUGCCAUCAGAUGUGCCCAGAUGGGAUUAGCUAGUAGGUGGGGUAACGGCUCACCUAGGCGACGAUCCCUAGCUGGUCUGAGAGGAUGACCAGCCACACUGGAACUGAGACACGGUCCAGACUCCUACGGGAGGCAGCAGUGGGGAAUAUUGCACAAUGGGCGCAAGCCUGAUGCAGCCAUGCCGCGUGUAUGAAGAAGGCCUUCGGGUUGUAAAGUACUUUCAGCGGGGAGGAAGGCGAUAAGGUUAAUAACCUUGUCGAUUGACGUUACCCGCAGAAGAAGCACCGGCUAACUCCGUGCCAGCAGCCGCGGUAAUACGGAGGGUGCAAGCGUUAAUCGGAAUUACUGGGCGUAAAGCGCACGCAGGCGGUCUGUCAAGUCGGAUGUGAAAUCCCCGGGCUCAACCUGGGAACUGCAUUCGAAACUGGCAGGCUAGAGUCUUGUAGAGGGGGGUAGAAUUCCAGGUGUAGCGGUGAAAUGCGUAGAGAUCUGGAGGAUACGUGGCGAAGCUGCCCCUGGAGGUUGUGCCCCUGAGGCGUGGCUUCCGGAGCUAACGCGUUAAAUCGACCGCCUGGGGAGUACGGCCGCAAGGUUAAAACUCAAAUGAAUUGACGGGGGCCCGCACAAGCGGUGGAGCAUGUGGUUUAAUUCGAUGCAACGCGAAGAACCUUACCUGGUCUUGACAUCCACAGAACUUAGCAGAGAUGCUUUGGUGCCUUCGGGAACUGUGAGACAGGUGCUGCAUGGCUGUCGUCAGCUCGUGUUGUGAAAUGUUGGGUUAAGUCCCGCAACGAGCGCAACCCUUAUCCUUUGUUGCCAGCGGUCCGGCCGGGAACUCAAAGGAGACUGCCAGUGAUAAACUGGAGGAAGGUGGGGAUGACGUCAAGUCAUCAUGGCCCUUACGACCAGGGCUACACACGUGCUACAAUGGCAUAUACAAAGAGAAGCGACCUCGCGAGAGCAAGCGGACCUCAUAAAGUNUGUCGUAGUCCGGAUUGGAGUCUGCAACUCGACUCCAUGAAGUCGGAAUCGCUAGUAAUCGUAGAUCAGAAUGCUACGGUGAAUACGUUCCCGGGCCUUGUACACACCGCCGUCACACCAUGGGAGUGGGUUGCAAAAGAAC
rnacentral:rRNA from 1 species